CCUACGGGAGGCAGCAGUGAGGAAUAUUGGUCAAUGGGCGCGAGCCUGAACCAGCCAAGUAGCGUGAAGGAUGACUGCCCUACGGGUUGUAAACUUCUUUUAUAGAGGAAUAAAGUGAGGCACGUAUGCCCUUUUGUAUUUACUUUAUGAAUAAGGAUCGUCUAACUCCGUGCCAGCAGCCGCGGUAAUACGGAGGAUCCGAGCGUUAGCCGGAUUUAUUGGGUUUAAAGGGAGCGUAGGUGGGUUGUUAAGUCAGUUGUGAAAGUUUGCGGCUCAACCGGAGAAUUGCAAUUGAUACUGGCAGCCUUGAGUACAGUUGAGGUAGGCGGAAUUCGUGGUGUAGCGGUGAAAUGCUUAGAUAUCACGAAGAACUCCGAUUGCGAAGGCAGCUUACUAAACUGCCACUGACAUUGAUGCGCGAAAGUGUGGGUAUCAAACAGGAUUAGAUACCCGAGUAGUC
rnacentral:rRNA from 1 species